GUUACUGAUGAUCAGAAGCUUGUUAAUGUUGCUAAGAAAGUCAAGAAGAAACCGAUUUCCAAAUCGCAUGGCAAGAAGAAGAGCGAGGCUCCUUUUGUUGACGGUCCUUUGGUAAUUUUUAUUUUUUUAAGAAACUGGUUUUUCAAUUUAUAUUUUUGCAUGCUUCAGGUUUUCUAUUUACAGUUUUAUUUGAAUCUGUUUUUUUAUAAUAUAUAUGUUUUUAUUUUCAGUUUUUAGUUUUUCUCUUUGUGAUGGGUAACCAGUUUUUGAUUUUUUCUUUUUUUUUUCUUUGCGUAUUUUUAAUUUCGAUUGUUUAUAUUGUUUUUUCUCUCACAGGAAUAUUAUUUUAAAAUUGAUGUUAAGAAGAGGUUUGUUGGGAAACCUCAACUCUACAAUCCUUAUAAUGUCAUUGAUGAUAUCAAUGAGAACCUGUCAGAUGAUCAGAAGGAGUUGUUUCGCAAGUCUACAUUUGAGCAUUUUCUUGAUGUGAGCAACUUUAACUAUCAGAUACAGCUAAUUCAUCUCGUUCUUUUGUGGCAGAUUCACACCGAAAGGGAUGAUGUCGAGCUUUGGUUCAAAUUGGGAGACAAGGCUGUUCGUUUCAGAAUUGAAGAGUUUUCCAUAAUAAUCGGUUUGGAUUGUACUAAAUUUUAUGAUGUUGAUCUCUUCAAAUCAAAGAAGUUGCUUGCUUACAAGGAGGGUUUUUUUGCAUGCAUGGGCUUACUGAGAAGCUUACGGUGAAGGAAGUUGCUAGUGUUUUCUUUAGUGGUGCGUUGAAAGAUGACGAAGAUUAUGUGAAGAUAGCUCUUGUAUACUUCUUUGCUGGGUAUUUGUAUGGUUAUCCCCAAGGGAAAAAGAUUGACAACUUCAUAUUUGCUAUGGUUAAUGGAGAUGAUUACAUUGAAGUUUUCAAUCGGUUUGGAUGGGGGAAAUUAUUGUGGGAAAAGACUUUUCAUCACUUGAAGAUUGCAUUAAAAGAUGUUAACAAUACCCUUGAACAACUUGCUAAGAAGAAGAUGAUUGAGAAGGGUUACAAGCUUAAAGGCUUUCCUAUUGCAUUUCUUAUUUGGCUGUACGAGAUUAUCCUGUCUUUUUCUCCUUGAUUUUGCAAAAGAAUCAGCAACAAGAUUCCUCGUGUUCUGAAUUGGGAGAAUAGCCCUACAACGGAGUUUAGUGAAUUGAUUCAGGGUGUGUUCAACAAUCCGAAGAUUGUUGUAAAGGAUUUUGUUGCUUUGAGUGGUGAAAAAUCUCAAAGUCUUUUUUCUAAAUUCAAGUUUGAUCCUAAAUAUGUUCCGAAGAGGAUUGGUGGUGAUGUGUCUUCUGAUGAAGUUAAUGAUGAGGUCAAGGUAUUAAAAACCGGUUUCUGUUUGCAUUUCUUUUGUGUAUGUUUAUCAUUACUGUAUACUAUUCACGUUUCUCAUGGAAAGUUGGACCAGAUUUGUGUUGAAAUUAAUUCUAUCAAAGAGUGCCAACAACAAAUUAAGGAUGGUAUUUCCAGCUUGAGGAUUGAGUUUUUGAGUGAGUUUGCUAAAUUAGCAGAAAUUAUCAAUGGAUUGAAGAAGAAGGAGAAUGAUGGCAGUUCUAAGGAUUCUGAAUUUUUUUCAUCCCCUAUAAGAGAGGCAUACUAUCAGGAUAUAUCGAAUGAUGGUGGUGGGUUACAGUUGUCCGUUCAUACUGUUCAAGCUGAGGUAAAAGCUUUUUCACAUUUAUGUUUUGCAUUGUUUGAAUGUUAUUGUUCGUUCUAAAUGUUUUUUCUUCAAUUUUGUAGGAGGAAAAGGACACUUUGAAUUUUGAAAAUAUGUUUAUUGAUCCUGAUUUUCUUAAGGGUGUAGUUGAUAGCACUGUUAAGAGUGCUUUGAAGACAGAUGAUGUGUAAUGACCGCCUUAGUAAUUUGGAUUAGAAAAGGCAAUUAGCACUAAUUUCUGUCAUUUUAUAAUUAUUUGUGAAUUUAUUUAAUUGUGAAUCCCAAUAUUUAGAAAUAAAUAUUAGAGUUAUAAUUUCUCAAUUUCGGAGAUUUUAUUAAACUCUAGGGGUAUUAUUUAGCUUAUAUGUGAAAUGUGUUAUUUUUGUAAUUUUUGCUCGGCGACAACGGAAAAUGCGAUGGAUGGCUAGUUUAAUCAUAUGGGUAAGUUUAGAACUUUAUUUCUUAGCGGGAAAUAUUUUAGAGAAAAUAAUUAUCGGGAUUGAGCAGGGUUAUGGGAUUUGACCAUUUUACCCCUAGCUUUUGAUAUACCCUAGUUUUGGGUCAAAGGGCAUUAUGUCAUUUGGUUAAAUGGUGGGAUAGGUGGCUGCCCUAGUUUGGUGACACCUUGCAACAUUUUUCUCAGCCAAAAUUAAGUAGUUAAUUUACUUAGUUAGAAAGAAAGAGGAAUUAGAAGGAAAUACCAAAAAUAGAAGGAGAAGCUCUCUUUCUUCUCUCUCUCUUCUCGAACCAGCAAGACCAAGGAAAAGGGUUGUUGAUUUCUGAGUUUUUAGCAAGGAAAUCAAGGGAGAAAUUAAUCUAAGGUAAGCCCUAAUGAACUCCCCUUUAGUUUUCAUGUUUUUGCUUAGUUAGAAAUGGUGAAUUUGUGAAAUAGGGGCUGUUAGGUUUAGAAAUGCUUAGGGUUCGGUUUUUAUGUUCAAUAUUGGUUGUUUAGAGGUUCUGGUAGUUGAUUUUGGUGCUUGGUGUUAGUUCUAAGAAAGCUUGAGUUUUGAAACUCAAGCUUUGAGCUUUAAUGGCAAGUUGGAAUUUAUUGGUUUGUUCUGUGAUUUUCUGGUUGGUUUAGGUUGUAAUGCAAUGUAUAGGUACCCUGGAAGUUUUUAGAAAGUUUGGGAUUCAAUUGAUAAGGGGGUUGGUUUUUGUGUUCCCAGCACAGAACCGGUCGACCGGUUGGUGUUCCAGAAAUGGACUUUCGGUUGGGACCGGUCUGCCGGUUGGGGGAAUUUUUGGAACCCUAGUUUUUCCCAAUUUUGAGAUAUUUAGGGUAUUGCCAUGUUGUUUAUCGAUAGGGAAACUUUUAGUUUCAAGUUGGAGUCCCCGGAAAGUGAUUUAGCGAGUCACUCAUCUGUGUUGCAAAUAAUGUGAUUAGGGCAUCCAUCUAGCGCAAGCAUUUCCGUUCAGGUUGGCCAACACACUUGAAUUCGGAAAACAGGUAAGAACUGUAUAUAGCGUGUUAUAAGAGAUAUAUGCAUGUUGUAUGUAUGAUUGUAUAUGUUUUGGGUGAUAUCAUAGCGGCACAACAAUUGUGUCGGUUCGACAGUACAGGCAUCGUACAGGUUAAGAGUGAUAUUCACCCCAGAGAGUAUUAAUUGGCGCUAUCAUAGUGGCACAACAAUUGUGUCGGUUCGGCAGUACGGGCACAGUACUGGUUAAGAGUGAUAUCAUGGCCAAUUGUACUCUUGGGUGCUAUUGAUGCUAUCAUAGCGGUACGAACAUAGUGCCGGUCCCGCAGUGCGAUCAUAGUGCUGAUAGUGGGUGAUAUCAUGGUCAAUAGCACAGCUAGUUAGAACGUUCUUACUCAUCUGUUAAGCCUUGUAAAUAGGUGUAUGGGCGCCUAGUUACAAGUCGAAAGUUAUAUGAUAUGUUAUAUGCUUUUCUUACUGAGUCUGUUGACUCACAGUUCUACUUUCAUGUGUAGGUAAAGGAAAGGCGAUAACUGAACCGGAGUGAACCUGAGCUCGGAUGGAUUGUACAUGUCAAAGCAGCACAACCUGGAGUGUUCGGUCUCGGGACAUCUGGGAAUUGUAUUUUGACAGUCGUUGUGCGACCUGAAAAAUGUGUAUUUUGAAAUAUUACUUUUAAAAAGUUUGAAAACGGGAUCCCAGCACUUGUAAAUAUUUUGAUAUGUUAUAAAGUUUAUUAAUUAAUAUAAAAGUUUUAAUUUGACACGUUUUCCAAGAAAACUCUUCGAUUAGCGAAGAUUGCACUGUAAUUGAAAAAGCAUUGUAGCGUGCCUUAGCAGUAGGGCGUUACAAUUUUGGUAUGAGAGCCGCCAGGUUUGUCUACGGAAGCUUGCUAAGACAUGUACAAUCUUCAUCAGAGAAAGCUCGGUUCAUGGUUCAGUAAGCCCGUACUUGUUUAGUAUUUUAAAUAAUUGUGAAUGUGAAAGCAUGUUAGUGUUGGAAUUUAUUUUACCAGGAUCUUAGAUCUACUCACAAGUAUGUUUAUUAACAUCCUAAAUAUGAACUUUCUAAAACGAUAAAUUAAACACGUAUAAAGUUUAAGAAACCUUACAUUGGGUGCAGCGGAAUAUAAUGACUCCUUCCGUUCAGAUAUCUAGCCCUUGAUUCCUUUCUGUAGCAGAGCAUUAUCAAUAUCUGAACCUGGAUCUCUUUCUCUGAAUCCUUGAUGCUGAAACUCCUUUGUUGAUGAUCUUUCUUCACGAUCUUCCUCACUAUGAUUGAGGUAUCACUUGAUGUGUGUGGGCACUACUCUAAUCACUAAGGAUUUCGAAAUAUUGAAGAAGAAGAGAGAGAGUGGUCAGCUAAAGAUAGGGAGAGAGAAGGCUCAGUUUUUCUGAAUCAGAAAGUCUGAAGAAAAGUGUUAUGUUUCUGAAGCCUUCACUAUCUAUUUAUAGCAUUCCACUAGGGUUAGAUUUGAAUUAUAUGGCAUUAAAAUAAUGAAAAAAUCAACUUAAAAUAGCUAUAAAGGUGGCCGGCCAUACACUUAGUGGAUUGGGCCUUGUUUUUGCAAUUUUGCAAUUUUAACACAUUUUGUAUCUGAUUUUCUCAAAAAUGCCAAUUUCCUAAUUCAACCAUUUAAAUGCCAAUUCUAACUAUUUAAUAACUAUAAAUAAUUAUUAAAUAAUAUUGUCAUUUAUCAUAUUUAUUAAUUGAACCAUACAAAGUAUCAUAAUUAACAAAUAUGCCCCUAUAAACUCUUUCUUUACAAUUUCGCCCUUACUUAGUGAAAAAUUCACAAAU